GACCAUUACCAAUCUCUCUCUCUCUCUCUCUCUCUCUCUCUCUCUCUCUCUCUCGAUCAUAGGUUUUAGUCUCCGUGUCUCGGAGCUUCCAUUACUCUAUUCGUCUUCCUCUCUGCGUUCAAAUUUCAGUGAGCGAACAAUGGUGGCUAUGGCGAACGACUUUCAGGAUCGCCGGAAUUUGAAGCUCGAUAACCUUCACGACAUCAUCUACCUCAAGCCGUUUGCCACCCCAACCUCUUCACCAUAAUCGACCCGUUCUUUCACUUCUCACCCGCGCACAACCUGAUCUGUUUUUCGAUCGACGACCGGUGCCGGAAUCUCAUCUUCAAUCCAGGUCGAGAAAGCCUGGUUGAAUGGAUAGAGGAUCCAUCAUAUGGUAAUGCAAUGCAACAUUGUCUUGGAAUAUAGUUUAUGGAAGUGGUAAGAUCCAAUCCCUAUUGAGUAGUAUCUACAAUUGUAAUAUGGAGAUUAUGUUGUUUUAGGCUAAACAAUCAUGAAUGAUCUGUUUUGUGUUGCCUUCUAUUUGGAUAAAUAUUACCUUCUUCCAGGUCCUCUUUUAUCUCUCUUGGAUAUUCAACCACACAAAUUUAAUCACCGUUUUAGGUCAUUGGACUUGAUGUUGGUAUUCCUGUAAAGUGUUCUUUUGUAUGCAGUUAGUUGGUCAAAUUAUAUUGUAUAAAUCCAUGUUUCAGAUCCAUUGAGGCUUUCGUUUUGUGGAACUAAACUUCCCAUGCGACAUUUGCAAUUUUUGGACUGUUUCUAGUGAUCAUGUCAUGGUCUCAUGUUGUAUCUGCUAAAUGUUAGAUAAUUUUUCUGUACUUUUGACCUGUAGUUUUGCAAUACAAGGAAGAGAUUGGGUACUUGCAAAAGUCUGAUCUUAGCGAUGAUAUGUAUGCUUACUAAGAUUUUCGUAGUUUUAAAGUACUUCAUGGAUGUGUAUUAAAAAUGUCUUUGGAAACGCCUAGCAUUUCUUUCUGUAGCUUGUUUUCUUUUGGUAUAAAUGAUAGUGUUUAACUUGUUUACAAAAUUUAGGUAGUGAGAAUGUUAAAAAAAGACCUAUAGAGGAACUGAGUUCCGUCUAAAGAUUGUG
rnacentral:lncRNA from 1 species